UGGGGAAUAUUGGACAAUGGGCGAAAGCCUGAUGCAGCGACGCCGCGUGAGGGAUGACGGCCUUCGGGUUUGUAAACUCUUUCAGUAGGGAAGAAGCGAAAGUGACGGUACCUGCAGAAGAAGCGCCGGCUUAACUACGUGC
rnacentral:rRNA from 1 species